rnacentral:misc_RNA from 1 species
AAAAUAACAAAUCGCCACUCAUUGUCGGCCGCUAACUAAAGGCAAGCCGGUAAAUCAAUGGGAAUUGGCACCACAUCUUGUGCACUGUACCGUCUUUGGUGGUGGGGUGGGCAUCGCAGUACGCUUUGUCUCAUCUGUCAGCUUGGGUCGCAAGGUCCAGGCCGUGGACAAGCCACCGCAUGUAUUCAAACAUCUUCUUUUCGUUUGUCUGACAUUUCAAUUUGUAUUAAUAUACAAA